AAUCAACGCUGGCGGCGUGCCUAACACAUGCGAGUCGAGCGAGAAAAGGGGGGCAACUCCCUGAGUACAGCGGCGCACGGGUGAGUAACACGUGGGUAAUCUGCCCUGGAGUGGGGAAUAACACCGGGAAACCGGUGCUAAUACCGCAUACGAUCACGAGGUCUGCGGACUUUGUGAUGAAGGGAGCAAUUCGCUCUAGGAGGAGCCCGCGGCUGAUUAGCUAGUUGGUGAGGUAAUGGCUCACCAAGGCUACGAUCAGUAUCCGGUCUGAGAGGACGGUCGGACACACUGGAACUGAGACACGGUCCAGACUCCUACGGGAGGCAGCAGUGGGGAAUAUUGCGCAAUGGGGGAAACCCUGACGCAGCAAUACCGCGUGAGUGAGGAAGGUUUUCGGAUUGUAAAGCUCUGUUGAUAGGGAAGAAAAAUGACGGUACCUAUCGAGGAAGUCCCGGCUAACUACGUGCCAGCCGCCGCGGUAAAAC
rnacentral:rRNA from 1 species